AAAUAUUUCGAAACGUAAGUAAAAUGUAAAUAAAAAUUAUUUUCUUCUAUUCCCUUUGGAAACGUAGAUAAAAAUAUUAUGCCGAUCGAUCUGGCCAUGAGCAGGUUCCAGAAAUAUUCAACCGAUCAAUCUGGCCAUGAGCAGGUUGAGGACUGAACCCACACGGAUGACUUGUGGCUAGGGGUGAAACGCCAACCACUAUCCGAUACGGCUGGUUUUCUGCGAAAUCUAUAUCAGUAUAGCGAGCUUAGAAUAAGGCCCGAAGUGGAGCCGAGCGGACGGUGGCCCAAAGCUUGACCAACCCUAACGAAACUCCGAAUACAGCCUUAAUGAAACGUACAGACAGACUUUGGGUGCUAGGAUCUUGAGUCCAGAGGGAAACAGCCCAUAUCGUACGCUAAGGUCCCUAUACAAUCGCUUAAUGAAAAAGGAAGUGAUCUUGGGAUGACAACCGGGAGGUGGGCCUCGAAGUAGCCCUCCUUUGAAGAAAGCAUAAUAUCUCACUGGUCUAGCUCCAUGGCACAGGAAAUGCAUCGGGGCUAGAGUGAUUCUCGGAAGCCACGACACCCUCGAAGCGAGGCGCGAACCAGGACGUUCUCUAAAAUGGGGAACACCAUCUAUCAGGAGUGAGAUUCAAUUUUAUUUCAAGGCUCCAUUUCCAUUGAAAUACCAUAGAAUAAUUUGGCAUAUAUGUUAACCCCGAUCUAUUAUUAAAAUAUGUUCGUUUAUACCCUUUCUAGACCUCAAAGAAUGCAGUCUUUCUCAUACUGCAAGGACCAGUCAUACCACUGGGAAAUAAUGGAGAAAGCGUUAGUUGUAAGUGUCAGUAAUAAGCGCGGGUUGUAAGCACCAGUUAGAAGAGUUAGUUCUUAGUUAAGAGUCAGUUGUCUAGUUAUUUUUUGGUUUGCAUGUAGCCUACUCGGGAGAGUCUUUCCCUAUAUAAACAUGUAAUCUGUCUUCAUUGAAUAAUAAGAAGUGAGCGUAGCCUCACCAUGUUUGUUUUUCUCUCGUAUAUUUUAUCUUGGUAUCAGAGCCAUGAGAGUGCAUUGCGAGAAUUGUAGAGCUUCGCAGACGGAGUACUCGACAGGU
rnacentral:ncRNA from 1 species